rnacentral:rRNA from 1 species
UACGUAGGGUGCGAGCGUUGUCCGGAAUUAUUGGGCGUAAAGAGCGCGCAGGUGGUUGAUUAAGUCUGAUGUGAAAGCCCACGGCUUAACCGUGGAGGGUCAUUGGAAACUGGUCAACUUGAGUGCAGAAGAGGGAAGUGGAAUUCCAUGUGUAGCGGUGAAAUGCGUAGAUAUCCGGAGGAACACCGGUGGCGAAGGCGGCUUCCUGGACCGACACUGACGCUGAGGCGCGAAAGCCAGGGGAGCAAACGGG